AGCAGCCGCGGUAAUUCCAGCUCCAAUAGCGUAUAUUAAAGUUGUUGCAGUUAAAAAGCUCGUAGUUGAACUUCGGGGUUUACCCAUUGGUCAGGCUUAAUUGUCUGUACUGGUGAGAUAAAUCUCUACCUUCUGAGGAACUUUCAUGUCAUUAAUUUGGUGUGAUUGGAAAUCAGGACUGUUACUUUGAAAAAAUUAGAGUGUUUAAAGCAGGCUAACGUCUGAAUACAUUAGCAUGGAAUAAUGAAAUAGGACGGACUGAUUCUAUUUCGUUGGUUUCUAGGAUCACCGUAAUGAUUAAUAGGGAUAGUUGGGGGCAUUAGUAUUCAAUUGUCAGAGGUGAAAUUCUUGGAUUUAUUGAAGACUAACUACUGCGAAAGCAUUUGCCAAGGAUGUUUUCAUUAAUCAAGAACGAAAGUUAGGGGAUCGAAGACGAUCAGAUACCGUCGUAGUCUUAACCAUAAACUAUGCCGACUAGGGAUCGGACGAAGUUAAUUUUAUAAUGACGCG
rnacentral:rRNA from 1 species